UACGGAGGGGGCUAGCGUUGUUCGGAAUUACUGGGCGUAAAGCGCGCGUAGGCGGACCUGCAAGUCGGGGGUGAAAGCCCGAGGCUCAACCUCGGAACUGCCUCGAUACUGCGGGUCUCGAGUCCGGGAGAGGUGAGUGGAAUUCCUAGUGUAGAGGUGAAAUUCGUAGAUAUUAGGAGGAACACCGGUGGCGGAAGGCGGGUCUCUGGGCCGGAUACUG
rnacentral:rRNA from 1 species